AGGUGUUAGGAAAUAAAUAUUUUAAAAAAUGCUGGUAAAAUUUAUAAACAUUACUAACAAAGUUUAAAUACAUAUUAACAGGAUCAUUCAAAUGCUCUUGUAGAGUAUCCCUAUAAUGCAGUGGUCUUUGAAUAUAUGUCAGAAUACAAGGACAUUUGAUAAAAUUUGGGAUCUUUUCAUGUGGCUCUGGAGAACUUACAGUGAUCGCCUAUGCUCGACAGUGAAUACAUGUGACAAAUUGCUGUCCAGCCCAUCUGUUAUGUGAUGGUUGUCAUGUGUUUGUCUCAGUAACCUAGGGUAUUAUUUUCUAUAAUCAGUGGGGUCAGUGAGAAAUUAUUAAAACCAUUUAUAACACAAGCAGAAGUAUGAGUCAUAUUUUCAGAACCAACAGUUGUUGAUGGCCUUUGGCUCAUGUCAUCACAAACUUAUGAGUUAUACCAUGUGUUGUCAUCUCUUCCCACACAUAAAAAUUCUCAUUACAUAGAGAGAAAUGGUUUAUAAACUGUGCCAUGCAUGGCACUCAUCUACCAUUAAGGUCGUAAAAACAGCGUACCUUAACCAUUCAGCAUUGAGACCUGAUUACUAAGAGUCAGGCUGUAGCUUUAUGGUAACUGCAUUUACUCUGGUCACCAUUAUUAUUUGUAUUGGUCACCAUGUACAUAGAACCAUUGUACAAUCCUGGGAGAUGACCAGGCAUAGUUUCUUGUAAAGUUGCAGAAAGCAAGUAGACACAUAACUUGGGGAGAAUUAAAGGAAUCCCCUAGUUAGAUUCAGUUGUCUAACAGGGGCUAUUGUGCAGGCAAGAUGGUGUAUUUGUCUGUCUCCUGUGUGCGGCUUCCUCAGCAGCCCUAUGUUUACCUUCUGAUGAGGUUUCAAUCUAUGGUGCUGGCACUGAUGAGUGUAGAGGGAAGGAGCAUUUGGCAUCAACCUAUCAUAAUGCAUGAGAAAAAUCUAACUCAACAGGUUCUUCCCAAGAAAAAAGACUAUAAUGUUUGUGGGCUUUCCUUAGUACUGCUGCUUGAUCACAAAAGUGGAUAUGGCAUCUACUUUUAUAGGCUACUAAUUACUGAAAUAAUAGUAAUUGCAUUGACAUAAGAAAUUGGUAAACUAAUAAGUCUCAGAUUUGAAAAUUCAAUGCCCUUAAGUCAAGAACAGGUUCAACCAGAUUAAAAUGAGGUGUUUCUUCAAAUAACAACAUACCUGAAGUGGUAUGGUACAACUGGAGGAGGUAGAAAUUGGGGAAUGUCUUUGGCUAUAUAGAUUUUUCUAUCUGCUUUUUGAUCAUCAUGAUGUAAGCUGCUUUGCUCUACCACACUCUCCCACCAUGAUGUUUAGCCUCACCUCAAGCCUCAUGGAAUGGAGCCAGCCUUCUAUGGACUAAGACCUCUGAAACCAUGAACCCGGAAAUAAACUUGCCUAUUCCAUGAUUGUUCUGGAUGGGUCCUUUAGUCACAGUAGUGAAAAAUCUAACUAAAACAAGGUCAUAGUUUUUAAGUAAUCUAGGUAUAUUGUAAGAAUUAAAUUAGGUGAAUAUAAAUGUUUACAAGUUACAUAAUUAACUUACCCUUGUGUUACAACAAGUAAUUGAAACUUAUAUAAGUUAUUUCUGAGUUAAAAUACUGAGUUUUAAUUGUUAAAAAUGAGGAUAAAAUCACCUAAUAUUGACUUUUAAAAAAUUUUAUAAAAAUAUAUUUUAUUUUAUUAUUACAAUACAGAAUGAAAUGGCACCUUAUAAAUUUCUGAUCUUUGUAGGAUUGUAGCUGUGUCACUUAAUUGCUAGUGUGAGUAUAGGUUAAUAUGUCACUUCACUGCUGUUUGAACUAUAACUUUUUAAGCAUGGCUUUGUUUGAAAUAUAGAUUCUAGGAAUGUAUGCUUGCAGAUAUCUUGAGAAAUUGCUCCAUGUGGUAAUGACCACUUCCAGAUAUCACUUGCAGAUUUUUCUCUGCCUUUGUUCUGCUGCUGUAAACUGUUUAUUGCAAGAACUUCCACUCAUGGUUUUUGGUCAUGAAUUCAAACCCACCAAUGUUGUAAUGGUUAAGAAAGAAUGUCGAUUUUUUUCUAUAAAAGCCCUGUAUAACCUCAGCUUGGGACCCAGAAUUUCAGAGCUCAUCCGGGUCUUCUGAUGUAAUAAACCUGAGUUUUCCUACCA